rnacentral:rRNA from 1 species
UUUAAGGGCCGCGGUAUUUUGACCGUGCAAAGGUAGCAUAAUCAUUAGUCUUCUAAUUAGGGACUGGCAUGAAAGGUAAUACGAGGUACAAACUGUCUCCAUAAUAAACAUGAACUUAACAUUUCAGUUAAAAGGCUGAAAUAGGAUUAGAGGACGAGAAGACCCUAUAGAACUUUAUAAGGACCAAGUAGGAUUUUUAGAAAACCGUGAAAUUUUUAUUUAACCUUAUUGUGUUGGGGUGACAGGGUAAUAAAAUAACUUAUCUUAAAUUAAACACUAAUUAGUGAGUGUAGGAUCCGUGUGUGGCGAUAAUAAAAUUAAGUUACCUUAGGGAUAACAGCGUAAUCUUUUUUGAGAGUUCAUAUCGAUAAAAGGGGUUGCGACCUCGAUGUUGGAUUAAAGGUAAUUUUAGGUGCAGCUGCUUAGGAUAUUGGUCUGUUCGACCAUUAAAACUUUACAUGA